rnacentral:rRNA from 1 species
GAUUCCCCUAGUAACUGCGAGUGAAGCGGGAAAAGCUCAAAUUUAAAAUCUGGCGGUCUCUGGCCGUCCGAGUUGUAAUCUAGAGAAGUAAUGCCCGUGCUGGACCGUGUAUAAGUCUCCUGGGAUGGGGCGUCAUAGAGGGUGAGAAUCCCGUCUUUGACACGGACUACCAGUGCAUUGUGGUAUGCUCUCAAAGAGUCGAGUUGUUUGGGAAUGCAGCUCAAAAUGGGUGGUAAAUUCCAUCUAAAGCUAAAUACUGGCGAGAGACCGAUAGCGAACAAGUACCGUGAGGGAAAGAUGAAAAGAACUUUGGAAAGAGAGUUAAACAGUACGUGAAAUUGCUGAAAGGGAAACGCUUGAAGUCAGUCGCGUUGGCCGGGGAUCAGCCUUGCUUCUGCAUGGUGUACUUUCUGGUUGACGGGUCAGCAUCAAUUUUGACCACUGGAAAAGGUUCAGGGGAAUGUGGCAGCUUCGGCUGUGUUAUAGCCCUUGUUCACAUACAGUGGUUGGGAUUGAGGAACUCAGCACGCCGCAAGGCCGGGUUUCGACCACGUUCGUGCUUAGGAUGCUGGCAUAAUGGCUUUAAGCGACCCGUCUUGAAACACGGACCAAGGAGUCUAACAUGCCUGCGAGUAUUUGGGUGGAAAAUCCAAAGUGCGCAAUGAAAGUGAAAGUUGAGAUCCCUGUCGUGGGGAGCAUCGACGCCCGGACCAGAACUUUUGGGACGGAUCCGCGGUGGAGCAUGUAUGUUGGGACCCGAAAGAUGGUGAACUAUGCCUGAAUAGGGUGAAGCCAGAGGAAACUCUGGUGGAGGCUCGUAGCGAUUCUGACGUGCAAAUCGAUCGUCAAAUUUGGGUAUAGGGG